rnacentral:rRNA from 1 species
ACGCUGGCGGCGUGCCUAAUACAUGCAAGUAGAACGCUGAAGGAGGAGCUUGCUCUUCUGGAUGAGUUGCGAACGGGUGAGUAACGCGUAGGUAACCUGCCUGGUAGCGGGGGAUAACUAUUGGAAACGAUAGCUAAUACCGCAUAACAGUAGAUGUUGCAUGAUAUCUGCUUGAAAGGUGCAAUUGCAUCACUACCAGAUGGACCUGCGUUGUAUUAGCUAGUUGGUGAGGUAACGGCUCACCAAGGCGACGAUACAUAGCCGACCUGAGAGGGUGAUCGGCCACACUGGGACUGAGACACGGCCCAGACUCCUACGGGAGGCAGCAGUAGGGAAUCUUCGGCAAUGGACGGAAGUCUGACCGAGCAACGCCGCGUGAGUGAAGAAGGUUUUCGGAUCGUAAAGCUCUGUUGUAAGAGAAGAACGAGUGUGAGAGUGGAAAGUUCACACUGUGACGGUAUCUUACCGGAAAGGGACGGCUAACUACGUGCCAGCAGCCGCGGUAAUACGUAGGUCCCGAGCGUUGUCCGGAUUUAUUGGGCGUAAAGCGAGCGCAGGCGGUUAGAUAAGUCUGAAGUUAAAGGCUGCGGCUUAACCAUAGUACGCUUUGGAAACUGUUUAACUUGAGUGCAAGAGGGGAGAGUGGAAUUCCAUGUGUAGCGGUGAAAUGCGUAGAUAUGUGGAGGAACACCGGUGGCGAAAGCGGCUCUCUGGCUUGUAACUGACGCUGAGGCUCGAAAGCGUGGGGAGCAAACAGGAUUAGAUACCCCUGUAGUCCACGCCGUAAACGAUGAGUGCUAGGUGUUAGACCCUUUCCGGGGUUUAGUGCCGCAGCUAACGCAUUAAGCACUCCGCCUGGGGAGUACGACCGCAAGGUUGAAACUCAAAGGAAUUGACGGGGGCCCGCAC